GAUGAACGCUGGCGGCGUGCCUAAUACAUGCAAGUCGAGCGAACGGACGAGAAGCUUGCUUCUCUGAUGUUAGCGGCGGACGGGUGAGUAACACGUGGAUAACCUACCUAUAAGACUGGGAUAACUUCGGGAAACCGGAGCUAAUACCGGAUAAUAUUUUGAACCGCAUGGUUCAAAAGUGAAAGACGGUCUUGCUGUCACUUAUAGAUGGAUCCGCGCUGCAUUAGCUAGUUGGUAAGGUAACGGCUUACCAAGGCAACGAUGCAUAGCCGACCUGAGAGGGUGAUCGGCCACACUGGAACUGAGACACGGUCCAGACUCCUACGGGAGGCAGCAGUAGGGAAUCUUCCGCAGUGGGCGAAAGCCUGACGGAGCAACGCCGCGUGAGUGAUGAAGGUCUUCGGAUCGUAAAACUCUGCUAUUAGGGAAGAACAUAUGUGUAAGUAACUGUGCACAUCUUGACGGUACCUAAUCAGAAAGCCACGGCUAACUACGU
rnacentral:rRNA from 1 species